UAGGGAAUCUUCCACAAUGGACGCAAGUCUGAUGGAACAACGCCGCGUGAGUGAAGAAGGUUUUCGGACCGUAAAGCUCUGUUGUUGGUGAAGAAGGAUAGAGGUAGUAACUGGCCUUUAUUUGACGGUAAUCAACCAGAAAGUCACGGCUAACUACGUGCCAGCAGCCGCGGUAAUACGUAGGUGGCAAGCGUUGUCCGGAUUUAUUGGGCGUAAAGCGAGCGCAGGCGGAAGAAUAAGUCUGAUGUGAAAGCCCUCGGCUUAACCGAGGAAUUGCAUCGGAAACUGUUUUCUUGAGUGCAGAAGAGGAGAGUAGAACUCCAUGUGUAGCGGUGGAAUGCGUAGAUAUAUGGAAGAAUACCAGUGGCGAAGGCGGCUCUCUGGUCUGCAACUGACGCUGAGGCUCGAAAGCAUGGGUAGCGAACAGGAUUAGAUACCCUGGUAGUCCAUG
rnacentral:rRNA from 1 species